UAGCCGGUAUUCCAGGUCAUUCUCGGUAGCUGGUCUCACUACUAAUUGGAAAAGGGAAAAAGAAAUCAUAUGUUACCUUUCCUGAUCGUCGCUGCUCAUCGCGUCACCUCGGAGAUGCCAUCAUGUACCAGGCAUCGGCCAAUCUGGCCCGUCAGACCUGAUGCAAGCGUCCAGUAAAUCAUAAUAUUAGACAUCCAGAAAGAAGUAUUUGUCCACCGGAUAAUCGUCGUACGGCAAAACGAUUGGCAAGGAAUGCGACUGCGGCAAAAACCAUUCCCUGCUACUGCUGUCGCUACCGACCGCUGCUGUUGUUGCAUUAUGGUGAUGGCUGCGUCGCCGCCGCUGUUGCUGCUGGUGGUGCCUAGGCUGGACGGUUCUUGGAGGUAUAUUUUUCAGGUCGGCUAUUCUGAAGGUACUUUUGUAGCAGCUAAUUUUGAGUCCGUCGUAGCUGUGAUGCCGUGGUUUAUUGGGUUCUUAGUUUGCGAUUAAUCUGGAGGUACAUUUGUUGCAGCUCAUAUUGAGGCCGUCGCUGCUAGGAUCACGUGGUUUUGAUUUCUUUACGUUUGCGGUUAAUCUGGAGUUAAGUAUUACGUUUGUUGUUAUAAUUGCUUUUAUAUUUGUUUAAUUUGUUUAAUUUUUCAGGUACGUUUGUAGCAGCUAAUAUUAAGGCCGACGCAAAUGGGAUGCCAAGGAUUUGGGUUCUUAAAGUUUGCGAUUAAUCUGGAGGUAAGUAUUAAGUUUAUUGUUAUAAUUGCAUUCUUUUUCCUUUCUUCCAGUUCAUUUGCCGGUCCGAGAAUGAUUGCCAGGUGGCCUGUCAGGAAGUCGGGUCGUCGUAUAUUCCCAGAAGGCGGAUGUGGCAAAAGCAUUCACUGUUGUUCCUGUCGCUGUUUUUAUUGUUGCUGCUGUUUCCUUGUGUUGCCGACUCGUUAUCACGCUCGGCUAGAAGGUGAUUCCUGUGUCGCAACUCGCCUUGAUGAAGCUCUGCAUGUUGUUGGUGAUUCCGGCGCCUAAUCCCAGGCAAGGCUGCCAUCAGACAUGAUCUCCGUACGUUUAGUGUCGCUAAUCAUCGGCCAUUCGGUCCCUUCAGUCCUGAUGCAGGUAUCCCUACUUUAGCAGGAGGGAAAAGCAUGCGCCGCAGUUCAGUUGCUUUUACAGGAACACACCGGUUUUCAGGAAUGAAAUUUUAUUGUAUAUUUUAGGAAAGAGAAGGAAAACUAAUAAAUUAUUUUCUUUCUUUCAGGAAAGCGGUGGUGAAGAGCCAGACAAAGCGGCAAAUGGAGCCAUCAUAAAGCGGAGAUUGUUUCAGGCACAUAUCCAUCAGUUUGGAAUGAGAGACGGAUCACCAGUGAUGCGUUCUCCAUCUCGCCAGGAAAGCGCCAUUCGAGUGCGCAGUCUAUAUCAUCCAGUAGGUGUUAUUAGUUAGAUUUUACCAUUUAUAUGUGAGACAUUUUCCUUUAUUAAAAUAACCUGUAUGUGAGCCUUUA